GCUCCGACUUGGUCAAUUUUCCGCAUAGUGUACCUACCAUUGGAAAGAAUAAUUGCGCUAAUGUUUCCCAUUCAAUAAUACAAAUUACACAAUAAUAAUCUCAUUAACCCCUCGUGUAUUUAUAACAUCAGCAACAUUGUCUAACGUCGAGAACCCUCAAACGCGAUUAUCCAGAGCGUACAACAAUCCGUAUCACCCAGAAGACGAUGGCAUAAUAGAAAAUAUCUCGGACGAAGAUGGCGACAACCUACGAUUUGGCGGGAAAAAGACUGGCCAACUCAGCGACUCUGAACAAACCAGGAUCGUGCAGAAAAAGAUUAAAAUCAACGGCCGGUAUUACGAGCUCGUGAAAAAUAAAACGGAUUUUAGUUAUAAAUAAAAUAAACCUGAUUUAAGCUAAA